UGGAGAGACGGUGCCGAUCGUAUUCGCACCAGUCUGUCUCUUGUUGGUUUGUUUCUUGAGGUUUUCACACGCCUCUGCAGAUCCAUGUUUGGUGCCACCGCGCCUUCGGCGGGCAUCGGUGCCCCUGCUGCCGGCUUCGGUAAGGCUCCAGCAACGUUUGGCACCAGCGCCUUACCCGGCACGAACACCACCGCCACCACCAGCGGUGGCUUCGGUGCUGCGGCCGGCGCCUCGGCAACACCGGGCUUCGGCACCGCGUUCGCAGCCCCUACGGCCAGCGCCGCACCAGCUGGAGGAGCAUCUGGCUUUGGCAGCAGCGCAGCAUCAGGGACCACCGGCUUCGGAGGGGCAGCCGGCUUCGGCGCUGGCGGCUUCGGGGCCGGCGGUGGUUUUGGGGCGAAGCCAGGGGGCGGUUUUGGCGCCAGUGCCACCUCUGGCUUCGGAGCACCCGCAACAGGGACCACCGGCUUUGGUGCAGGGGCAACGGCACCGGCAGCGAUCGGCGGUUGGGGCAUGCAGCAGCCCAACCCCGACAUACAACCCCAGGCACCCCAACAGCAGCAGCCGACCGUGACGCUGCAGGACUUCGCGCGGCAGAGCGCCCUCGCCAGCUACCUCGUUAAGCUGGACGAGUCCUACAACGCGCUGCACCCCAACUGCCGCUUUAGAGCCUUUGUGUACAACAGUUGCGGGGCGGGGCAGGUAAUGGACGCAAUUCAGAAGGAGCGCUACACGGCCUACCUCAACGGCGGCGGGUGCAGUGAGGAGGCCUACAUGCAGGCACUCCACCAAAACCCUGACCCCGGCCGCCUCUACCCAUCCCCCAUCCACUUCUCCCAGGAGCUCCUGCGGCGGACUGAGAAGCAGAGGGACGCCGUAAAGGUGCUGCAGAAGAAAGUGACAGAGCUGCUGCAGGAUAUCGACACAGUGGCGGGCAUGGACGCCGCGAACGUGCGGCGGCAGCGCGAGGUGGAGCAGGAGGAGGUGAUGCUGCAGCACCGAUGGUACUCGCUUCUGUGCAAGAUGGAGCUGCUUCGCCGUCACGGCAGCUCUUGCGGCGAGGAGGGCCUGCUGAGCAGCCGUGUCGAGCAGCUCCGCAAGCUCUUGCGAGCGCCUGGUCGCUUCAGUCAGCUACUGAGUGAGCUGCGGCCGUUCCUGACAGAGGAGGCAUCGCGUGUGGCAAUAAUCACGCAGCAGUCGGCAAACAAGACGGAAGCACGUCAGCAGCAGCAACAGCGCCGCUUCGUCGGAUCCGCGCCAGCAGCGUGGCGGAACCCUGGCGGUCAGCCACUCCUGCGCUCCGAGGUGGAUCCGUGCAUCAUAAAUGGCUGGAUCCAGUUUGCCAAGCAGAUGCAGGACGGAAUUGAGACGCUGAAUGAGCUUCUCAAGACAGAUCUAAAGGAGAUGCAGGCAAUCCGCAGCCGUGUGGAGGCCUCUUAGUUCUUUGAGGAAGGGUGGUGGUGACGCAAACUCUCGAAUUGGUGUUGUUGAGCCUCUCUCGUCUGCCACGCUCAGUGCGGGACGGUCAUCCAAGAGAACGACGCACAGCGGUGUCGGCGCCGACACAGGUGCGGUGCGUGGCACUGCUUCCCUGCCACGCACGUACUCGCGUGUUUGGUCGAUUCCUUCGCCCCCUCCCCUCCUCCCGCCCGCUUCCUUCAUUCUUUUUUCCGGGGGAGGGGAAGGGUCGAGGACCUCAUCAGCCCUCUAAUGCGCUGAAAGAGUGCCUAUUCACCAUUUCCAACCCACUGUCCCUCAGCGCGUCUCUGUCCCGCCUCUCGUUGCGUCUUGUUUUGCCUUGCCCUCUGCACAUAG
rnacentral:misc_RNA from 1 species